GUAGUCCAUGCCGUAAACGUUGGAUACUAGGUGUGGCGUCCCGAUCAACGGAUGCCGUGCCGAAGCUAACGCAUUAAGUAUCCCGCCUGGGGAGUACGGCCGCAAGGCUAAAACUCAAAGGAAUUGACGGGUCCCCGCACAAGCGGCGGAGCAUGCGGCUUAAUUCGAUGCAACCCGAAGAACCUUACCUGGGUUUGACAUCACGGGAAAAGCUGUAGAAAUACAGUGUCCGUAAGGGCCCGUGACAGGUGGUGCAUGGCUGUCGUCAGCUCGUGUCGUGAGAUGUUGGGUUAAGUCCCGCAACGAGCGCAACCCUUGUCCUAUGUUGCCAGCACGUAAUGGUGGGGACUCAUGGGAGACUGCCGGGGAUAACUCGGAGGAAGGUGAGGACGACGUCAAGUCAUCAUGCCCCUUAUAUCCAGGGCUGCACGCAUGCUACAAUGGUCGGUACAACGGGCAGCGAGCUCGCGAGAGUCAGCGAAUCCCUUAAAGCCGGCCUUAGUUCGGAUUGGAGUCUGCAACUCGACUCCAUGAAGUCGGAGUCGCUAGUAAUCGCGGAUCAGCAAAGCCGCGGUGAAUGCGUUCUCGGGGAUUGUACACACCGCCCGUCAAGUCACGGAAGUCGGCAACACCCAAAGUCAGUGGCCUAACCCUUCGGGGAGGGAGCUGCCUAAGGUGGGGUCGGUAACUGGGACU
rnacentral:rRNA from 1 species